rnacentral:rRNA from 1 species
GUUGUGAGGUUAAGCGACUAAGCGUACACGGUGGAUGCCCUGGCAGUCAGAGGCGAUGAAGGGCGUGCUAAUCUGCGAUAAGCGCCGGUAAGGUGAUAUGAACCGUUAUAACCGGCGAUACCCGAAUGGGGAAACCCAGUGUGACUCGUCACACUAUCAUUAACUGAAUCCAUAGGUUAAUGAGGCGAACCGGGGGAACUGAAACAUCUAAGUACCCCGAGGAAAAGAAAUCAACCGAGAUUCCCCCAGUAGCGGCGAGCGAACGGGGAGGAGCCCAGAGCCUGAAUCAGCAUGUGUGUUAGUGGAAGCGUCUGGAAAGGCGCGCGAUACAGGGUGACAGCCCCGUACACAAAAGCGCAUGUGCUGUGAGCUCGAUGAGUAGGGCGGGACACGUGGUAUCCUGUCUGAAUAUGGGGGGACCAUCCUCCAAGGCUAAAUACUCCUGACUGACCGAUAGUGAACCAGUACCGUGAGGGAAAGGCGAAAAGAACCCCGGCGAGGGGAGUGAAAAAGAACCUGAAACCGUGUACGUACAAGCAGUGGGAGCACCCUUUGGG